AUUGAACGCUGGCGGCAGGCCUAACACAUGCAAGUCGAGCGAGCGGCGGACGGGUGAGUAAUGUAUGGGGACUGCCCGAUCGAGGGGGAUAACUACUGGAAACGGUGGCUAAUACCGCAUACUAUCGGUUAACCCAUAUGGGAUUAGCUAGUAGGUGGGGUAAAGGCUCACCUAGGCGGCGAUCUCUAGCUGGGCUGAGAGGAUGAUCCGCCCCACAGGGCCUGAGACACGAGCCAUACUCCAUCGGAGGCAGCGGUGGAGAAUAUUGCACACUGGGCGCAGUCCGGAUGCAGCCAUUCCGCGUGUAUGAAGAAGGCCUUAGGGUUGGAAACCGCUUUCAGCGAUGACGCGGUAGUGGCAUAAGAAGCACCGGCUAACUACGUGCCAGCAGCCGCGGUAAUAC
rnacentral:rRNA from 1 species